CGUUACCGUAAGCGUGAAGUGGCUCGUGAAGUCUUGACCGGUGUCGGAAAUUGUGUCCGGAGCUAACCGUUUGACAAGGUGCCCUUAAAUCUGGAACAAGGCCUGGAAAAGUUGUCCAAGAGGGGAUACGACCUCUUCAGGGGUCUGAUGGAGGUGGAAAGCUCCGGCGGUGAAGGAUGAGCCCGCGGCCUAUCAGCUUGUUGGUGAGGUAAUGGCUCACCAAGGCGACGACGGGUAGCCGGCCUGAGAGGACGACCGGCCACACUGGGACUGAGACACGGCCCAGACUCCUACGGGAGGCAGCAGUGGGGAAUAUUGCACAAUGGGCGAAAGCCUGAUGCAGCGACGCCGCGUGAGGGAUGACGGCCUUCGGGUUGUAAACCUCUUUCAGCAGGGAAGAAGCGAAAGUGACGGUACCUGCAGAAGAAGCGCCGGCUAACUACGUGCCAGCAGCCGCGGUAAUACGUAGGGCGCAAGCGUUGUCCGGAAUUAUUGGGCGUAAAGAGCUCGUAGGCGGCUUGUCACGUCGGAUGUGAAAGCCCGGAGCUUAUCCCCGGGUCUGCAUUCGAUACGGGCAGGCUAGAGUGUGGUAGGGGAGAUCGCAAUUCCUGGUGUAGCGGUGAAAUGCGCAGAUAUCAGGAGGAACACCGGGUGGCGAAGGCGGAUCUCUGGGGCCAUUACUGACGCUGAGGAGCGAAAGCGUGGGGGAGCGAACAGGAUUAGAUACCCUGCUAGUCCACCGCCGUAGACGGUGGGGAACUAGGUGUUGGCGACUUUCCUCGUCGUCGGUUGCCGCAGCUACCACAUUAAGUUCCCCCGCCCUGCGGAGUACGGCCGCCAAGACUAAAACUUAUAAGGAAUUGAUGGGGGGCCCGCCCAAAGCAGCGGAAGCAUUGUUGCUUAAAUUCGACGCACGCCGCACAAACCUUACCAAGGCUUGGAUAUAUAUCUGGAAGAGGGCCGAAAUGGUCGCCCCCCUGCUGGUCGGAUAUCAGAUAGGGGAUGGCUUGUCGUCCCGCUCGUGUGCGUGAGAU
rnacentral:rRNA from 2 species